GUAAUGCCCUUCCCUGCAGCCAACUCCAUACAGUUCAGCCCAUGAUGGAGUGGUGGUAGGAACCAGUGGCAGCAUGGUUGUCAGGAGCCCAUUCUUCCAGCAGGAGGGUGUCUAGGGUUGAGUGGUACAUCAUCUGGAUAAGUCUGGGUCUGAAGGUUGAAGACUCAUUUUCCUGCCAAUCCUCAGAUUCUAAGAAAACUAAAGGCUACUACCUACUAAAAGCAUGCAGUCUCUUGGCCUGAGGCUGAAACCAAAUUUCCAUUUGAGUGACACUAGCAAGAUUUACAAUUUCUGAACCAAGGC
rnacentral:lncRNA from 1 species